ACUUCCUGUGUGGGAUUCUAGAUGAUGUGUUGAGACAGUUUCACUUUCAUCAUGAAUAUCUUAUACACUUUCUUCUAAAUGUACAUUUUUAAUGAAAUGCUUGCAUGAUAGCUGCCAACGAUUUCAAGGUAUGGCCACAGUGAUCAGUAAAUAUGUAAGUGUAUUGUUCAUUUGGCUGGAAUCCACUACACACAUAUUUUUUUUUUAUAAAUAUAUAUAAAAGGGAACUUGAGAGCUGUUUGCAUAAUUGGGGACAUUUCCGCAAAUGUUUCCCCCCCUCCUCUACCCUCAAAGUCUCUCACAGUCCCUUAAUAUCUCACAAGGAUUCCACAUGCAUGCCUGAUAUGGUAAGUGGCAAAUGUACCUUUUUGCUUACUUUUAGUACUUUUUAGUAGUGUAAACUGUCUCACAGAAUGUUAGAGAGAGCCUUGUCUUAAAUAUACUUGAUGUGAUAAAUCGUGUAAUUUAAAAACUCACAUAAGGUCAUAUCAGUACAGAAGGCAUUUUCAAAUUAAACUUGUUUUGUGAGACUGGAAGUAAGUGUUUCCCCCUACCCCACGUACAGAUGAUGGCCUCAAAUGACACAUCGAACAAUUCUACAAAUCUUUAUCCCAAUGGAUCCCAGUCGAGUGGCCUUGCUGUGGGAUUGCCAUUGUUUUUUGUGGUAUCGGCAGUCGUCAUAGGAAGCAUGGCUUAUUUCUACUUUCGGCAAAGGAAAUCGAAACGUGAAACCCUGGAGGGUCGACACUCUAAACCUGCGGGAUCCCAGAACCCUGGAUUGAUUGGAAGCUCUCGUCAGAUCUCAGAAAGCCCAGUAUAUGAAAACUUUAGUAAGAGGCCUUCAGAUAUCAUUGCAACAGAUCAACACAGCAACAUGGACUUGGCUUCACACAGCCCUGCUGAACCUUGUGACCUUUACGUGCAGUGUGAUCCAGAACAUGACGCAAUCUAUAGCAACGAUCCCUCCUUCAGUUACUGCGGUCAGCCAGACAACACAGAGGAAGAUGUUUACAUUGUGCCACAUGGUUGAAAAAUGGCUAUUCAAGGGUUAUUUUUCAGAGAGAUAUCAAAAUGUUUUCUUCCCUCCUAUUCCUUUUACUCUCAUUCUUUUUUCUCAAUCCUGUGUUUCCUUUCCUCCUUGAGUGGUAGUUCUGAAAGCAAGAGAGAAAUCUUUUUUGUACCACAAUAUAUUUUCAUAUAGGUGAAGGAAUGUAUUUUUUUUUUAUUAUUUGGGUCUGUUAAAAAUAGCUGAAGAGAUGAAUUUCACUUCUUCUUUCCUGAAGGAGGUGAAACCAUGUUCUUUGGCAUCCUUAUGAAACUUAACAGAGACAGCUCAUAAUACCACUGCAGCUUCUUUUCAGAGGCUGAACUCAUCCAAAAUCUCCACAAAAUGUAAAACAAGUGACAAUCUAUUCACAACUAUCAAAAUGUGCUGUGGGUAAAAAAACAUUUUACCCUUUUUCCAAAGCCAUCUUUUGUACCUGAUAACUCGUUCAUGUUGGCUCUCUCCCACUUAAACCUAUUUAAAACAGAUUAAUAUUGCUUGAUGAUUUGACCUUAACAUCCAAUUGUAUACUUUGGGUGGUAACGGGGCCUUUCAAAGCUGAAGAUUAAGGGCAUUUCCAUCGUCACUACGAUCUGGUGACACAGAGGAUGUACAUUUGUGUAUACCCAAGUGAGGUUAGGGAGGUGCCGGACAUAACUGUACUUUCAUGAGGAUGGCUGAAUUUCUUAUUUGUAUGUGCCAACAUAUUGAUUGAUUGUUUCCUGGACUCUGCAAAUUUGUCACACCCUUUGUCGUAUCUGCCAAGAGUUAUGAUAUGUUUUUGAGUGUUCAGUUUUGUCUGUGAACUUUAUUCUUGCCCACAGGUGAAGAUCCUGCUAGUCACUAGAUACCAUUCCAGCUUUAUAGGGUUUGUGUCAUGCCUGCCUUUUAUAGCAAUAACAUAGUUCACUAUAGUGCCUGUUAAGAAUACUAGGAACUAUGAAUUCAAAGUUGGCAUUCUAGGACAUUGAAAUUGUUAGUUAGUUGAGUGCCCUGCAGGCCGUUCAUCUUCUAGUCAAGGCCAGAGUAUUAAUUGUUUCAAGGCUGCUGUAUUGAGACAGAGACUCUCAUAUCUAUUGUAUCUUUAGGUAGUGCGUGGCGGUACACCCUGACCUUGAAAUACCUUAUCAGAGUAUAUGGUUUAUUGCUCAAAAGGGAAAAAACUGACCCAACCUGACAUUUUUGGGAGGUCUGUAAAGUUAUGAAAUGACUACAAUAUGCAUUAAAUGUGUCAAGGUUGAAUCUCUAAGAUUUUUAAGGAACCGAACCGAAAUUUGAAUUCUGUUGUGAAUUUGAGCCAAGUUCUUUAUUGUAAUUGUAGUUAAUUCAUCCACAUGUUUCAUUUCAGUAUGUCCUCUUUGAAAUAUGAUAUCGUAAUUUAUGGCAAUUUGCAGUCCAGGACUGUGAAAUAUAUAUUUGACUAAGUUCUGUCAUGUCCCACGAGGGUAACUAAAGAAAAAUGUGUGCAGCGUUGUUAGUUGUCAUUUGAAAAGGCCUUUACAUUUAUGUCAUUAAGCACAUGUUAAUACGCAUGUAAGACAAGAACAUAUUGCAAAAUGUUAUUUUUUAUUAAAGCAGACUAUAUACAAUGUCAUUUUAAUAUACACAUUAUAAUUUUGAAAUGACAAGGGACAAACAAUACCUUAGUUACCCUAAAGUUUGUAAAUAUAAAUUAUAUGUUCUUUUGUAACAGAGUUAACACAGCAAAUAUUACAGGAAAUAGGUUAAUGCAAUAAAUUAACAAUAAAUAAUUCA
rnacentral:lncRNA from 1 species